rnacentral:rRNA from 1 species
CAUGCAAGUCGAGCGGGGUACAGGGCUUCGGCUCUGUACCUAGCGGCAAACGGCUGAGUAACACGUAAGUAACCUGCCCUCCAGUGGGGGAUAACCCCUCGAAAGAGGAGCUAAUACCGCAUGCGUUCCCGGAGGGAAGUUCUCCGGGAUGAAAGCCUUCGGGCGCUGGAGGAGGGGCUUGCGGCCUAUCAGGUAGUUGGUGGGGUAACGGCCUACCAAGCCGAUGACGGGUAGCUGGUCUGAGAGGAUGAUCAGCCAGACGGGGACUGAGACACGGCCCCGACUCCUACGGGAGGCAGCAGCGAGGAAUCUUGCGCAAUGGGCGAAAGCCUGACGCAGCAACGCCGCGUGGGGGAAGAAGGCUUUCGAGUCGUAAACCCCUUUUGCAGGGGAAGAAGA